AUUCAGCUGAUGAGUCUAAAACAGGACGAAACUCGAGUCGUGGGU
rnacentral:hammerhead_ribozyme from 1 species